rnacentral:lncRNA from 1 species
GGAAAGAGGGUUGAAGAAACUAUGAUUUCUUCUGGAACCAAAGGAUUGGCUCCUAGCUGUUCAGGGGAAGAGAGCUGGAAGCUGGGGACUGAUAUCAAGGAUGAGAGGGCCUGGAGCUGGGCAGUCCCAUGGUGGUCCACGAUGAGGCGGAGGACAAUAUUCAUGCCAUCACGACUCACCAGAGCUAAGUCCCGGUAACACUGUGAGAAGUAAAGUUUGUGAUCAGCCAGCAAGCUGAGGAUAAGGUCCUCACCCCACCCACAGUGGACCCCUUGCCCUCUAAUCCCUUAAACUUAAAUAACACCA